UCCAGACUCCUACGGGAGGCAGCAGUCGGGAAUAUUGCGCAAUGGAGGAAACUCUGACGCAGUGACGCCGCGUGCAGGAAGAAGGUUUUCGGAUUGUAAACUGCUUUAGACAGGGAAGAAAAAAGACAGUACCUGUAGAAUAAGCUCCGGCUAACUACGUGCCAGCAGCCGCGGUAAUACGUAGGGAGCAAGCGUUAUCCGGAUUUAUUGGGUGUAAAGGGUGCGUAGACGGAGAAGCAAGUUAGUUGUGAAAUCCCUCGGCUUAACUGAGGAACUGCAACUAAAACUACUUCCCUUGAGUACUGGAGAGGAAAGUGGAAUUCCUAGUGUAGCGGUGAAAUGCGUAGAUAUUAGGAGGAACACCAGUGGCGAAGGCGGCUUACUGGACUGUAACUGACGUUGAGGCUCGAAAGCGUGGGGAGCAAACAGGAUUAGAUACCCGAGUACAA
rnacentral:rRNA from 1 species